GCAGCGAAGGCGAGCUGUCUGGAAGUUUUCACCCCUCCCUGCUGAGCAACUACUGAAAAUCUUGCCUAUUUGGGUACCCAUUGGUGAUGAUGCACUACACUUUGGGCCUCAAGACUAGCCCUGGCUGAAACACACUUUUUAAAAAAGGCUUUGUAUAAAAUGAGUUGAAAACAUGUCUAAUAACAACACAAUACCCCAACUCCAAAGAACUGAUUGUCCAGUUGCAACAGAACAGCACAACAGGUUUGUGCAGCUUGAACAUCAAGUUAAAGGUCAUCUUUUGCUGUCACUAAAAAUAAGCUACAAUGGAAGGUUCAGGGGAGGGAGGUGUUCUCUUGAAAGUGACUUCCACAGAGUGGUCUCACAAUGAAGCCUACUUGGUUACAACCAUCCUACAAUCCUAGCCUCUUGUUUUUUUAAGAUUGGACAAAGAGGGUCAACCACACUGCAGAGCUUAACAACCCACCCUGUUUAUAUGAAUUCUGGCUUUCUGAAAGUAUCUUGAAGGAAUGAAGCAUAUUUGAUUAAGCAGAAUUAGUCUGCACGUAUUAGUUUAUAGAGAAAGGAUACAGAUUGAAGUACAUAAGGGCCCCAAGUCUUUUUUCAGACUUUCAGAAGACAUGGCUAUUUUAAAGAGCUGCUGUGCUUGUAAAACCCUACAUUUUAAAGCACCUCUUCUCAAUCAUUUUGAAAAUAUGCACAGCCCUAAAAUCUAUCCCAGAAGUCCCCAAGUGAACAAGCAUAUAUCCUUAUCAGCUCUUGGUUUAUUUUGGGAACCCAGAGGCAAGGAUAAACCCUUCAGUGUUAUCUUCCUUCACACAUAACAAAUCAAAGGUGGAGAUGUAUGUCACAUCAUGUCCUGGAAUUUAGGUCUAUUUCCCCUGUUAUUUUCAGUAGCAGGUUAAUGCAUUGUUCCAGGUCCUUCGGUCUUAAACAAAACCAUUCUUACAUAGCCUUCUGAUUGCCAAACUAGUCUGAAUAGUAUCUUUUACAUUUAUUUUUAGAAACGUGACAGUAGGGAUGUGCCACAACCUGCUGGGCAUGUGAUUACAUCUGAAUUGAAUGUUGCAAUUAAUCCUUUCUAUCUCUUCUAUCACCUCCUCCUCCUCUACACUUGCCUCGUUCUAGUACACAUGCACUGACAUACAAGCCAAGAAGCCGGAGAGGAAUAUUCACAUAGUCCCAACGGAUUAGCUUCCAGAUGCUUGGAGAAGUUCCACAUAUCUGCAUAUCUAUAUACUUAGCUUAAUCCUGAGUCUGGGCCACCACCUGGCAUUUGGAAAUCUCUAGUACAGGUCCUGUGGGGAUGAAAGGAAGAUAUGUAACAGAAGGCUCCAGCCAGAGCAAUGUCCUCUAUCUUUCUAUCCAUUGUGUAUGUUAAAAUUCACGGCUACUGUCUUUACCAUAUUAAUAUUAAAAUACAGUAUGAUUGACUUUUAAAA